UACGUAGGGUGCGAGCGUUGUCCGGAAUUACUGGGCGUAAAGAGCUCGUAGGCGGUUUGGUAAGUCGGGUGUGAAAUCUCCACGCUCAACGUGGAGGGGCCACUCGAUACUGCCAUGACUCGAGUCCGGUAGAGGAGUGUGGAAUUCCCGGUGUAGCGGUGAAAUGCGCAGAUAUCGGGAGGAACACCAGUGGCGAAGGCGGCUCACUGGACCGGAACUGACGCUGAGGCGCGAAAGCGUGGGGAGCAAACAGG
rnacentral:rRNA from 1 species